UACAGAGGGGGCAAGCGUUGUUCGGAAUUACUGGGUGUAAAGGGCGCGUAGGCGGCCCGCUAAGUCGAACGUGAAAUCCCCGAGCUCAACUCGGGAACUGCGUCCGAUACUGGUGGGCUUGAAUCCGGGAGAGGGAUGCGGAAUUCCAGGUGUAGCGGUGAAAUGCGUAGAUAUCUGGAGGAACACCGGUGGCGAAGGCGGCAUCCUGGACCGGCAUUGACGCUGAGGCGCGAAAGCUAGGGGAGCGAACGGG
rnacentral:rRNA from 1 species